rnacentral:rRNA from 1 species
UGGGGAAUAUUGGGCAAUGGGCGAAAGCCUUACCCAGCAACGCCGCGUGAGGGAAGAAGGUUUUCGGAUUGUAAACCUCUGUCCUGGGGGACGAAGGAAGUGACGGUACCCCGGGAGGAAGCCCCGGCUAACUACGUGCCAGCAGCCGCGGUAAUACGUAGGGGGCGAGCGUUGUCCGGAAUUAUUGGGCGUAAAGGGCGCGUAGACGGCCGAGUAAGUUAUAGGUGAAAGCCCAUCUUUCAAGGAUGGAAUUGCCUGUAAUACUGCCUGGCUUGAGUGCAGGAGAGGGAAGCGGAAUUCCUAGUGUAGCGGUGAAAUGCGUAGAUAUUAGGAGGAACACCAGUGGCGAAGGCGGCUUUCUGGACUGUAACUGACGUUGAGGCGCGAAAGCGUGGGGGAGCAAACAGGAUUAGAUACC